rnacentral:rRNA from 1 species
GCCUAAAGCGUCCGUAGCCGGCUCUGUUAGUUUUCGGUUAAAUCCAUAUGCUCAACAUAUGGGCCGCCGGGAAUACUACAAAGCUAGGGAGUGGGAGAGGUAGACGGUACUCCGUAGGAAGGGGUAAAAUCCUUUGAUCUAUGGAUGACCACCAGUGGCGAAGGCGGUCUACCAGAACACGUUCGACGGUGAGGGAUGAAAGCUGGGGGAGCAAACCGGAUUAGAUACCCGGGUAGUCCCAGCUGUAAACUAUGCAAACUCAGUGAUGCAUUGGCUUGUGGCCAGUGCAGUGCCGCAGAGAAGUCGUUAAGUUUGCCGCCUGGGAAGUACGUACGCAAGUAUGAAACUUAAAGGAAUUGGCGGGGGAGCACCACAAGGGGUGAAGCCUGCGGUUCAAUUGGAGUCAACGCCAGAAAUCUUACCCGGAGAGACAGCAGGAUGAAGGUCAAGUUGAAGCCUUUACCAGACAAGCUGAGAAGUGGUGCAUGGCCGUCGCCAGCUCGUGCCGUGAGGUGUCCUGUUAAGUCAGGUAACGAGCGAGAUCCUUGCCUCUAGUUGCCACCAUUACUCUCAGGAGUAGUGGGGCGAAUUAGCGGGACUGCCGUAGUUAAUACGGAGGAAGGAGAGGGCCACGGCAGGUCAGUAUGCCCCGAA